rnacentral:miRNA from 1 species
UGGCCCACAGUCGCAGGGGUUGUGGCUGUGGCUAAGCCCCCUGGAGUGAGUGGCCUGGUCACAGCUGCGACCCCUGUGACUGUGGU